rnacentral:rRNA from 1 species
UACGGAGGGAGCUAGCGUUGUUCGGAAUUACUGGGCGUAAAGCGUGCGCAGGCGGUUUUGUAAGCCAGAUGUGAAAUCCCCGGGCUCAACCUGGGAAUGGCAUUUGGGACUGCAAGGCUGGAGUACGGCAGAGGAGACUGGAAUUCCUGGUGUAGCAGUGAAAUGCGUAGAUAUCAGGAGGAACACCAGUGGCGAAGGCGACUUCCUGGCCUGUUCUUGACGCUGAGGCGCGAAAGCUAGGGGAGCAAACGGG